rnacentral:lncRNA from 13 species
GUUAACUCCGCUCGUUGCGCAUCGGAUCGACUUACAGGAUCUGAGAGGAGGAGAAGACCCUUGGAGAGGCAUCUGGCCCCGGCGGAGCAACCUUGGGUAAUCAUCGUAGCUUUGUGGCUGAUUAACUCCG